GAUGAACGCUGGCGGCGUGCCUAAUACAUGCAAGUCGAGCGAACAGAUGAGGAGCUUGCUCCUCUGACGUUAGCGGCGGACGGGUGAGUAACACGUGGAUAACCUACCUAUAAGACUGGGAUAACUUCGGGAAACCGGAGCUAAUACCGGAUAAUAUAUUGAACCGCAUGGUUCAAUAGUGAAAGACGGUUUUGCUGUCACUUAUAGAUGGAUCCGCGCCGCAUUAGCUAGUUGGUAAGGUAACGGCUUACCAAGGCAACGAUGCGUAGCCGACCUGAGAGGGUGAUAGGCCACCCUGGAACUGAGACACGGUCCAGACUCCUACGGGAGGGAGCAGUAGGGAAUCUUCCGCAAUGGGCGAAAGCCUGACGGAGCAACGGCGAGUGAGUGAUGAAGGUCUUCGGAUCGUAAAAAUGUGUUAUUAGGGAAGAACAAAUGUGUAAGUAACUAUGCACGUAUUGACGGUACCUAAUCAGAAAGCCACGGCUAACUACGUG
rnacentral:rRNA from 1 species